AAGGUCUUGGCCCAUCAUGCAAAUACUUGCAGUUUAUCAUGACUUCGGCGCCUGAUGAUAUAUAUGAUAAUACUACCAUCCCAUUGGCGGCCUCAGUUUGGCACUCGGAUUUUGAUCAAGAAACAUACAUAACUGCGUCUGAUAUAGGAGAGUUCCUUCGCGGGGCGUGCUUAAACAUUUCAGCGAUCCAAGUCUACAUAUUGUGUUUAUUGCACGAUCAUGCCAAAUCAUUUGAAAUGUCUCGGAUUUCGUUCAUUUGUCCCGAGAUUAUGUCAAGCACUAGAAUCAAGGCCGACCCUGGAGCGCCAACAAUGUAUUUGAAAAACAUUUUCCAAGCUGAAAUUGAAAAGGAGAAGAUGGGUAAUCCUAACCUAACUAAUUGGUUUUUAAUCCCAUAUAAUCAAGAAAAUCAUUGGAAUUUAUACGUGAUGGACCUACGUAGAGGUUAUGUAUAUAUUUUCGAUUCUGCUAGAGAUCCACGUCGAACAGAUUAUGCAUGGGGAAUCUUGAGUUUGUAAGUUCUUUUGCUUACAAAUUACAUUAGUCUUUAAGAAACCUAAGCCAAAAUCAUAUUCAUGAGUACCCAUGUUUCGUUAAUUUUCUAGGGCAUACCAAGUGUACAAGUGCAAUGGUGGGCGUUGUCCGAAUAAAACGAGUUUUAAGUCGUGUAAACCCAUUCAUAUAGAGUGUGCUCAACAAAUCGGCGGAACUGAGUGUGGCUAUUACGUUAUGAAGUUCAUGUUAGAGAUAGUCACGUUACAACAUGACUAUGAAGGCCGGCUAGAUGAGGUCUAUACUCCGAGGACUGCGCCUUAUGCUAGUGAGGAAAUUGAUGUGGUUCGUGAGCAAUGGGCGAAGUUUUUUACCACCAAGUAUUUAUUAUUGACCUGAUGGCGCUUGAUCGUGUUGGUUUAGAUGUUAUAGAACAAUCUUUUAUGUUAAAAUGUAUGCGUACUUUGAAAUUGGAACGUAAAUGUAUUUAAAUGUAUCGGUAUGUGCACUUUUGGUUUUGGGAUAUAUACAAAACUCCAGUUGUUGUUUUUA